ACUCCUACGGGAGGCAGCAGUGGGGAAUAUUGCACAAUGGGCGCAAGCCUGAUGCAGCCAUGCCGCGUGUAUGAAGAAGGCCUUCGGGUUGUAAAGCACUUUCAGUAGGGAGGAAGGUAGUGUAGUUAACACCUGCACUAUUUGACGUUACCUACAGAAGAAGCACCGGCUAACUCCGUGCCAGCAGCCGCGGUAAUACGGAGGGUGCGAGCGUUAAUCGGAAUUACUGGGCGUAAAGCGCACGCAGGCGGCUUGUUAAGCUAGAGGUGAAAGCCCCGCGCUCAACGUGGGAACUGCCUUUAGAACUGGCAGGCUAGAGUCUUGGAGAGGGGAGUGGAAUUCCAGGUGUAGCGGUGAAAUGCGUAGAUAUCUGGAGGAACAUCAGUGGCGAAGGCGGCUCCCUGGCCAAAGACUGACGCUCAUGUGCGAAAGUGUGGGUAGCGAACAGGAUUAGAUACCCUGGUAGGAUAGCGU
rnacentral:rRNA from 1 species